rnacentral:rRNA from 1 species
UACAGGGGGUGCAAACGUUGCUCGGAAUCAUUGGGCGUAAAGCGCACGUAGGCGGUCUGUUAUGUCGGAUGUGAAAGCCCUUGGCUCAACUGAGGAAGUGCAUCUGGAACUGGCAGGCUAGAGUACUAAAGAGGAUCGCGGAAUUCCCGGUGUAGAGGUGAAAUUCGUAGAUAUCGGGAGGAACACCGGUGGCGAAGGCGGCGAUCUGGGUAGAUACUGACGCUGAGGUGCGAAAGCGUGGGGAGCAAACAGG